CUACGGGUUGCUGCAGUGGGGAAUAUUGCACAAUGGGCGCAAGCCUGAUGCAGCCAUGCCGCGUGUAUGAAGAAGGCCUUCGGGUUGUAAAGUACUUUCAGCGGGGAGGAAGGGAGUAAAGUUAAUACCUUUGCUCAUUGACGUUACCCGCAGAAGAAGCACCGGCUAACUCCGUGCCAGCAGCCGCGGUAAUACGGAGGGUGCAAGCGUUAAUCGGAAUUACUGGGCGUAAAGCGCACGCAGGCGGUUUGUUAAGUCAGAUGUGAAAUCCCCGGGCUCAACCUGGGAACUGCAUCUGAUACUGGCAAGCUUGAGUCUCGUAGAGGGGAGUAGAAUUCCAGGUGUAGCGGUGAAAUGCGUAGAGAUCUGGAGGAAUACCGGUGGCGAAGGCGGCCUCCUGGACGAAGACUGACGCUCAGGUGCGAAAGCGUGGGGAGCAAACAGGAUUAGAUACCCCCGUAGUC
rnacentral:rRNA from 1 species